UACGGGGGGGCAAGCGUUGUUCGGAAUUACUGGGCGUAAAGGGCUCGUAGGUGGCCAACUAAGUCAGACGUGAAAUCCCCAGGCUUAACCUGGGAACUGCGUCUGAUACUGGAUGGCUAGAGUUUGGGAGAGGGAUGCGGAAUUCCAGGUGUAGCGGUGAAAUGCGUAGAUAUCUGGAGGAACACCGGUGGCGAAGGCGGCAUCCUGGACCAACACUGACGCUGAGGAGCGAAAGCCAGGGGAGCAAACGGG
rnacentral:rRNA from 1 species